AACGAACGCUGGCGGCAUGCCUAACACAUGCAAGUCGAACGAGACCUUCGGGUCUAGUGGCGCACGGGUGCGUAACGCGUGGGAACCUGCCCUUAGGUUCGGAAUAACUCCCCGAAAGGGGUGCUAAUACCGGAUAAUGUCUUCGGACCAAAGAUUUAUCGCCUUUGGAUGGGCCCGCGUUGGAUUAGCUAGUUGGUAGGGUAAAAGCCUACCAAGGCGACGAUCCAUAGCUGGUCUGAGAGGAUGAUCAGCCACACUGGGACUGAGACAAGGCCCAGACUCGUACGGGAGGCAGCAGUGGGGAAUAUUGGACCAUGGGCGAAAGCCUGAUUCAGCAAUGCCGCGUGAGUGGUGAAGGCCUUAGGGUUGUAAAGCGCUUGUACCCGGGAUGAUAAUGACAGUACCGGGAGAAUAAGCUCCGGCUAACUCCGUG
rnacentral:rRNA from 1 species